rnacentral:rRNA from 1 species
GAUGAACGCUGGCGGCGUGCCUAAUACAUGCAAGUCGAGCGAACGGACGAGAAGCUUGCUUCUCUGAUGUUAGCGGCGGACGGGUGAGUAACACGUGGAUAACCUACCUAUAAGACUGGGAUAACUUCGGGAAACCGGAGCUAAUACCGGAUAAUAUUUUGAACCGCAUGGUUCAAAAGUGAAAGACGGUCUUGCUGUCACUUAUAGAUGGAUCCGCGCUGCAUUAGCUAGUUGGUAAGGUAACGGCUUACCAAGGCAACGAUGCAUAGCCGACCUGAGAGGGUGAUCGGCCACACUGGAACUGAGACACGGUCCAGACUCCUACGGGAGGCAGCAGUAGGGAAUCUUCCGCAAUGGGCGAAAGCCUGACGGAGCAACGCCGCGUGAGUGAUGAAGGUCUUCGGAUCGUAAAACUCUGUUAUUAGGGAAGAACAUAUGUGUAAGUAACUGUGCACAUCUUGACGGUACCUAAUCAGAAAGCCACGGCUAACUACGUGCCAGCAGCCGCGGUAAUACGUAGGUGGCAAGCGUUAUCCGGAAUUAUUGGGCGUAAAGCGCGCGUAGGCGGUUUUUUAAGUCUGAUGUGAAAGCCCACGGCUCAACCGUGGAGGGUCAUUGGAAACUGGAAAACUUGAGUGCAGAAGAGGAAAGUGGAAUUCCAUGUGUAGCGGUGAAAUGCGCAGAGAUAUGGAGGAACACCAGUGGCGAAGGCGACUUUCUGGUCUGUAACUGACGCUGAUGUGCGAAAGCGUGGGGAUCAAACAGGAUUAGAUACCCUGGUAGUCCACGCCGUAAACGAUGAGUGCUAAGUGUUAGGGGGUUUCCGCCCCUUAGUGCUGCAGCUAACGCAUUAAGCACUCCGCCUGGGGAGUACGACCGCAAGGUUGAAACUCAAAGGAAUUGACGGGGACCCGCACAAGCGGUGGAGCAUGUGGUUUAAUUCGAAGCAACGCGAAGAACCUUACCAGGACUUGACAUACCAAGGAAAGUUUUUAGAGAUAAAAACCCUAGAUUUAUCUACCUUGGAUACAGGUGGUGCAUGGUUGUCGUCAGCUCGUGUCGUGAGAUGUUGGGUUAAGUCCCGCAACGAGCGCAACCCUUACAUUUAGUUACUAACAGGUUAAGCUGAGGACUCUAGAUGGACUGCCGAUGACAAAUCGGAGGAAGGUGGGGAUGACGUCAAAUCAUCAUGCCCUUUAUGUCCUGGGCUACACACGUGCUACAAUGGUCGGUACAAAGAGAAGCUAAAUAGCGAUAUCAAGCAAACCUCAAAAAACCGAUCCCAGUUCGGAUUGAUCUCUGCAACUCGAGAUCAUGAAGCCGGAGUUGCUAGUAAUCGCAGAUCAGAAUGCUGCGGUGAAUGCGUUCCCGGGUCU